UAAUUAUUGUUGUCCUGCUAAAUGUAUUUAUUUGGUUUAUUUUGUUGAUGAAGUCUAACCUUGAUCACAAUUGAUAAAAACAAAAGAAAGACAGCAUAGUCAUCAGUGAAGAUUCGAUCUAAAUAGAUGUCUUAUGGUGGUUGGUACCAGGUCACAGGAUUUCCCCGUCGCAACCCACGGAGUUUACAGAGCGGAAACGCUGUAUCGAAUACUUAACCAACAUUUCCUCCUGUUCCGGCUUCUGGCGUUUUCUCAACAGACAUCGGUUGAAACCCACCAUCCCUGUAUGUUAACAUUAACAUGAAAAUGGAAAAAAAUAAAUUGUUAUUUGUCCGAUGUUGCAAUUUAUUGACAAUUAUUGAAAAUUAUGUCUGUUUGGAUAUGCGCAUGUACGCGUCAUGAGCAUUGUCAUAGAGUUGUGCAAUCUCUCUAUGUGCAGUGGGAUAAUAAAAGGGACUUUCCGUGACUAUAUUGGAAUAUACGCCGAUGCAAAUGAGCAGUCGUCGCUUCCCUUAUAUACCAACUACUAUGUGAGGCCCAUCAUGAACGCUGUGAGUUUGGAGAAGGCGGCUAAUGAUCUCCCAGUGCGCCUCUUUACCCAGACAGCACGGCAGGAUGAUUCAGCAGUGGCACGGCCGUGAUGCUGACAGCACUGUUACCAAAAUGACUCAUCCUGAUGAUGAAGCCAAAGAAAGAAAAAGGAGAGAGAACCUCAUGAGCUCAAGACGGUUGCUGCCGAUUCUGCUCAGUGUCAGCCUUUUUCCAUGCUGAAAAGGACACGGAUCAAAGCAUGAUCAACUCACUGUGGAACCUUCUCACCCUCCUUUAUAAAACAAGUCAAAGUAUCCAUUCAUUAAUCACUACUCACCCAGCACAAAUAAACAGCUGCACCAAG